rnacentral:lncRNA from 1 species
GUAGUCACGUGAUGACUCUUUCCAUGAGCCACAGCGGAACCCCCCGGCCAAGCAUCACAAGCCACAGGGGGCUUUAGAACUUAGCUCUCGGUGCCACGAUCAGCAUGAGCUAUCGGGUCGAUGCCUGAUAGCCACUCCUGCAGGAAGAGUUCCAGAAUAUUCUCUCACCAGUAAGGAAAAGAAGUGACGCUCAUCAGGUUCUGAGAAAUUGAUCAUGAUGUUUUGAUUUGCAACCAGUGGUCUAACUAGUGCUCAGAUCCGCCCCCCCCUUCUGCAUCGCCAACCCCAGCCUGGUCUGGGCCACCAUCAUUUGCUCCUGGACACAGCGAUGCCUUCCCAAUGGGCAUCCGAGGCACCCAUCCAUCCUCCACCUGCCACACAUUUGCUUAACUAGAAAGGGUAAAAUAAUAAAACCAUU